AAGGAGAGUAAAGUGCUGUGGUAAAGAGAUUAAGUUUUUUCUGUUUGGUCCCAGAGGCAAAACUAGGAGCAAAAGGUAGAAGUUGAAAAGAGGUGGAAUGAGAUUCCUCAGGAAGUGGAGGCCUCUCCCUCAUUUAAGAUCUUCAAGCAAGGGCUGGAUGACCAUUCCUCAAGUAUGUCAUACGGGGGAUUCCUGUUCAGGACUGGAUGGUCUCUGAGAUGCUUUCAAACUUGGAGCUUUUAUGAUUCUGGGUCUAGCACAAUACUUGAGGCAUCACAGGCACUUGUUUUGUUGAUUAAUAUUUGCUGUGCAAACAUAGCCUGUCACAGGUGAACAGAACUUUAGAGAUUUUUUACUCCAGUGCCCUCAUAUUAAAGAUGAGGAAAAUGAGGCCUAGAGGAAGCAAGCUAUUUGCCCACAAUCAAGUACCAGGAAGCCUACAGAACAGAUGCUGCCCUUGUCCCUGACACUAGCUAUGAACAGAUUUUACUCAAGUUGUUGAUGUGUAGUUGUGUGUGUGUGUGUGCCCACAGAGAGGCUGCUCCCCAAUCCCCAACAGAGGAAUGAAUCACCCUGAUAAGCAGCUCUAAAUCUGUGAUUCUGCAUAAUCCAUGCAUUGCCCAUACCUGACUCCUUCCAUAACUCUGCCAGCCACAUCACUGCUGAAGGGCAGGAGACAUGCUUUGCCAUCCAAUCUUUUGAAGUCUGUGAAGAAUUUCUUGAUGGUCUAUAGUGAUAUAUUCUUACUCUGAAGAUCUAUUCCAUUUAUAGUUAGUACAUCAAUUCAAUUAAACAAAUAUUUAUUAAACUAUAUUGUGUAUGGAACACUGCUAGGUGCUACAUGAGAUACAAAAUUAGAAUAAUAUAUGGUCCCUGUCCUCAUAGAGCUUAUAGUCUAGUAGGAAGAUAUGAAAUAUACAUAAAUGCCAGUGUUAUGAAAUAAUACACAAUUGGUAUAUUAGAUUGGUUAAAGAAGUUAUAUGAGGAGCACGGACCCUGGAGUCAGGAGGACCUG